rnacentral:snRNA from 1 species
AAAAGUGCUUGCUUUUUUAUAUACUAAAAUUGAAAUGAUACAGAGAAGAUUAGCAUGGCCCCUGUGUAAGAAUGACAGGCAAAUUAGUGUAGCAUUCCAUAUUUAC